GGUUAAGCGACUAAGCGUACACGGUGGAUGCCCUGGCAGUCAGAGGCGAUGAAGGACGUGCUAAUCUGCGAAAAGCGUCGGUAAGGUGAUAUGAACCGUUAUAGCCGGCGAUGUCCGAAUGGGGAAACCCAGUGCAAUUCGUUGCACUAUCGUUAACUGAAUACAUAGGUUAACGAGGCGAACCGGGGGAACUGAAACAUCUAAGUACCCCGAGGAAAAGAAAUCAACCGAGAUUCCCCCAGUAGCGGCGAGCGAACGGGGAGCAGCCCGGAGUCUGAAUCAGCUUGUGUGUUAGUGGAAGCGUCUGGAAAGUCGCAGGGUACAGGGUGAUACUCCCGUACACUAAAGCACACAGGUUGUGAACUCGAAGAGUAGGGCGGGACACGUGGUAUCCUGUCUGAAUAUGGGGGGACCAUCCUCCAAGGCUAAAUACUCCUGACUGACCGAUAGUGAACCAGUACCGUGAGGGAAAGGCGAAAAGAACCCCGGCGAGGGGAGUGAAAAAGAACCUGAAACCGUGUACGUACAAGCAGUAGGAGCCCCACCACCAAAGCGUUUCGCUUUGCGUGGUGCGCAAAAUGCGUAACGACAGCGCGAUGGACGGUUAACGGAGCGUAAGCGACGUUCAACAUCAAAAUCAGGCAGUGGAGCGUUUUGGGGUGGGGUGACUGCGUACCUUUUGUAUAAUGGGUCAGCGACUUAUAUUCUGUAGCAAGGUUAACCGUAUAGGGGAGCCGCAGGGAAACCGAGUCUUAACUGGGCGUUAAGUUGCAGGGUAUAGACCCGAAACCCGGUGAUCUAGCCAUGGGCAGGUUGAAGGUUGGGUAACACUAACUGGAGGACCGAACCGACUAAUGUUGAAAAAUUAGCGGAUGACUUGUGGCUGGGGGUGAAAGGCCAAUCAAACCGGGAGAUAGCUGGUUCUCCCCGAAAGCUAUUUAGGUAGCGCCUCGUGAAUUCAUCUUCGGGGGUAGAGCACUGUUUCGGCUAGGGGGUCAUCCCGACUUACCAACCCGAUGCAAACUACGAAUACCGAAGAAUGUUAUCACGGGAGACACACGGCGGGUGCUAACGUCCGUCGUGAAGAGGGAAACAACCCAGACCGCCAGCUAAGGUCCCAAAGUCAUGGUUAAGUGGGAAACGAUGUGGGAAGGCCCAGACAGCCAGGAUGUUGGCUUAGAAGCAGCCAUCAUUUAAAGAAAGCGUAAUAGCUCACUGAUCGAGUCGUCCUGCGCGGAAGAUGUAACGGGGCUAAACCAUGCACCGAAGCUGCGGCAGCGACACUAUGUGUUGUUGGGUAGGGGAGCGUUCUGUAAGCCGUUGAAGGUGGCCUGUGAGGGUUGCUGGAGGUAUCAGAAGUGCGAAUGCUGACAUAAGUAACGAUAAUGCGGGUGAAAAACCCGCACGCCGGAAGACCAAGGGUUCCUGUCCAACGUUAAUCGGGGCAGGGUGAGUCGACCCCUAAGGCGAGGCCGAAAGGCGUAGUCGAUGGGAAACAGGUUAAUAUUCCUGUACUCGGUGUUACUGCGAAGGGGGGACGGAGAAGGCUAUGUUGGCCGGGCGACGGUUGUCCCGGUUUAAGCAUGUAGGCGGAUGUUCCAGGUAAAUCCGGAACGUCACUAACGCUGAGGUGUGAUGACGAGGCACUACGGUGCUGAAGUGACAAAUGCCCUGCUUCCAGGAAAAGCCUCUAAGCAUCAGGUAACAUCAAAUCGUACCCCAAACCGACACAGGUGGUCAGGUAGAGAAUACCAAGGCGCUUGAGAGAACUCGGGUGAAGGAACUAGGCAAAAUGGUGCCGUAACUUCGGGAGAAGGCACGCUGAUGGUAGGUGAAGUGACUUGCUCAUGGAGCUGAAAUCAGUCGAAGAUACCAGCUGGCUGCAACUGUUUAUUAAAAACACAGCACUGUGCAAACACGAAAGUGGACGUAUAGGGUGUGACGCCUGCCCGGUGCCGGAAGGUUAAUUGAUGGGGUUAUCCUCGCGGAGAAGCUCUUGAUCGAAGCCCCGGUAAACGGCGGCCGUAACUAUAACGGUCCUAAGGUAGCGAAAUUCCUUGUCGGGUAAGUUCCGACCUGCACGA
rnacentral:rRNA from 1 species